rnacentral:rRNA from 2 species
GCAGAACGCUGGCGGCGUGCUUAACACAUGCAAGUCGAACGGAAAGGCCCUUCGGGGUACUCGAGUGGCGAACGGGUGAGUAACACGUGGGUGAUCUGCCCUGCACUUUGGGAUAAGCCUGGGAAACUGGGUCUAAUACCGAAUAGGACCGCGCUCUUCAUGGGGUGUGGUGGAAAGCUUUUGCGGUGUGGGAUGGGCCCGCGGCCUAUCAGCUUGUUGGUGGGGUAAUGGCCUACCAAGGCGACGACGGGUAGCCGGCCUGAGAGGGUGACCGGCCACACUGGGACUGAGAUACGGCCCAGACUCCUACGGGAGGCAGCAGUGGGGAAUAUUGCACAAUGGGCGCAAGCCUGAUGCAGCGACGCCGCGUGAGGGAUGACGGCCUUCGGGUUGUAAACCUCUUUCAGUAGGGACGAAGCGCAAGUGACGGUACCUAUAGAAGAAGGACCGGCCAACUACGUGCCAGCCGCCGGGGU